GAGUUUGAUCGUGGCUCAGGAUGAACGCUGGCGGCGUGCCUAAUACAUGCAAGUCGAACGCUUGCUUGAGGACUUGUCUUCAAGCGGGAGUGGCGAACGGGUGAGUAAUACAUAAGCAAUCUGCCCAUCGGCUUGGGAUAACAGUUGGAAACGACUGCUAAUACCGGAUAGGUGAUAGGGAGGCAUCUCUCGAUCAUUAAAGUUGGGAUACAACACGGAUGGAUGAGCUUAUGGCGUAUUAGCUAGUAGGUGAGGUAACGGCUCACCUAGGCGAUGAUACGUAGCCGACCUGAGAGGGUGACCGGCCACAUUGGGACUGAGACACGGCCCAAACUCCUACGGGAGGCAGCAGUAGGGAAUUUUCGGCAAUGGGCGAAAGCCUGACCGAGCAACGCCGCGUGAGUGAAGAAGGCCUUC
rnacentral:rRNA from 1 species